rnacentral:misc_RNA from 1 species
GUGAGUCAUCGAAUCUUUGAACGCACCUUGCGCUCCUUGGUAUUCCGAGGAGCAUGCCUGUUUGAGUGUCAUUAAAAUCCUCAACCCCAUCUUUUCUUGUGAAUGAUGGUGUUGGAUGUGGAAGCCUGCCGGCCCUUUGUAGGUCAGCUCUUCUGAAAUACAUUAGCGGGGCCGCUGUACGCAAGGCUGCAGCUUGGUAAUGAUAGAUGUCUUACCAGGUCACAGUCGAGCAAUGUGCCCAGCUCACAGCCGUCUCUCUGAGACACUUGACAUGACGAUUUGACCUCAAAUCAGGUAGGACUACCCGCUGAACUUAAGCAUAUCAAUAAGCGGAGGA